rnacentral:rRNA from 1 species
ACGAACGCUGGCGGCGCGCCUAACACAUGCAAGUCGAACGGAGCUGAGAGGAGCUUGCUUUUCUUAGCUUAGUGGCGAACGGGUGAGUAACGCGUGAGUAACCUGCCCUGGAGUGGGGGACAACAGUUGGAAACGACUGCUAAUACCGCAUAAGCCCACGGAUUCGCAUGGAUCUGCGGGAAAAGGAUUUAUUCGCUCUAGGAUGGACUCGCGUCCAAUUAGCUAGUUGGUGAGGUAACGGCCCACCAAGGCGACGAUUGGUAGCCGGACUGAGAGGUUGAACGGCCACAUUGGGACUGAGACACGGCCCAGACUCCUACGGGAGGCAGCAGUGGGGGAUAUUGCACAAUGGGGGAAACCCUGAUGCAGCGACGCCGCGUGGAGGAAGAAGGUUUUCGGAUUGUAAACUCCUGUCGUUAGGGACGAUAAUGACGGUACCUAACAAGAAAGCACCGGCUAACUACGUGCCAGCAGCCGCGGUAAAACGUAGGGUGCAAGCGUUGUCCGGAAUUACUGGGUGUAAAGGGAGCGCAGGCGGACCGGCAAGUUGGAAGUGAAAUCCAUGGGCUUAACCCGUGAAUUGCUUUCAAAACUGCUGGCCUUGAGUAGUGCAGAGGUAGGUGGAAUUCCCGGUGUAGCGGUGGAAUGCGUAGAUAUCGGGAGGAACACCAGUGGCGAAGGCGACCUACUGGGCACCAACUGACGCUGAGGCUCGAAAGCAUGGGUAGCAAACAGGAUUAGAUACCCUGGUAGUCCAUGCCGUAAACGAUGAUUACUAGGUGUUGGAGGAUUGACCCCUUCAGUGCCGCAGUUAACACAAUAAGUAAUCCACCUGGGGAGUACGACCGCAAGGUUGAAACUCAAAGGAAUUGACGGGGGCCCGCACAAGCAGUGGAGUAUGUGGUUUAAUUCGAAGCAACGCGAAGAACCUUACCAGGUCUUGACAUCCGAUGCAUAGUGCAGAGAUGCAUGAAGUCCUUCGGGACAUCGAGACAGGUGGUGCAUGGUUGUCGUCAGCUCGUGUCGUGAGAUGUUGGGUUAAGUCCCGCAACGAGCGCAACCCCUGUCCCUAGUAGCCAGCGGUUCGGCCGGGCACUCUAGGGAGACUGCCAGGGAUAACCUGGAGGAAGGUGGGGAUGACGUCAAAUCAUCAUGCCCCUUAUGACCUGGGCUACACACGUACUACAAUGGCGUUUAACAAAGAGAAGCAAGACCGCGAGGUGGAGCAAAACUCAGAAACAACGUCUCAGUUCAGAUUGCAGGCUGCAACUCGCCUGCAUGAAGUCGGAAUUGCUAGUAAUCGCGGAUCAGCAUGCCGCGGUGAAUACGUUCCCGGGCCUUGUACACACCGCCCGUCACACCAUGAGAGUUGGGGAUACCCGAAGCCUGUGAGCCAACAGUUAAAUGAGGCAGCAGUCGAAGGUAGAAUCAAUGAUUGGGGUG